ACAAUCAGGGUCUUCCAGUUCAGUUCUGUAGAUCCCACCUCGGGAAACAUGAUGGUGUCAUAACUUUGAUAGAUGAAGAAGGGGAGGAGUAUGAGGCCAUCCACUUAGCGAAAAGGACUGGACUUAGUGGUGGAUGGAUGGGGUUCGCGAUUGCUCACAAUCUAGCGUAUGGGGACACUCUUAUCUUCGAGUUAGUUCGCUCUACCGCUUUCAAGGUUUACAUUACAAGAGUUGGAAGUUCUGGAGAAAGCUCAGAGAUAUGAGCUGAUCAUGUCAAGAAUUUGGAAAUGCCCCGAGUUAGAACUUUAUUGCCCUUUUUGUCUUUUGUAUGUAAGAAGCUAUAACUCUAGGCUAAUUGUGCUCUUCACCGCUAAAAUCUGAUAUAUGGUUAACAAUGUUUUGGAACUUGGAAGUGGUUAUUUCCAUUACUCAAGGUGUAAAAUUCUUCUAAUCUUGGGAAUGGGAGAUAAACACUAAAUUUGGUUUU